GGGAGUGAUUUCUUAUUAAUAAAGAAACUGCCUCGGCCCUCAUAGGACAGAAAAUUAGGUAGGCGGAGUAGACAGAGGAGAAUGCUGGGAAAAAGAAGCUGAGUGGGAGAGUCGCCAUGAUGCUCCCACUCCAGACAGACGCAGGUUAAGAUCCUCUCUGGUAAGCCAGCUUGUGGGCUACACAGAAUAUUAGAAAUGGGUUAGAACAAUAUGUAAGAGCUAGCCAAUAAGAAACUGGAACUAGCCGGGCCAGGCAGUGUUUGAAAGAAUACAGUUUCCGUGUAAUUAUUUCGGGCAUAAGCUAGCCAUGCGGGCGGCCGGGGGCCGGGGACGCAGCCCCGCCGCUCCUAAUUCAACAGAUGGCGCCCAACAUGGGGCUAAAUCCACUUAAAAACCUGAGAGGGCUUAAAAAGGAGAGAGAGAGAAUUUAAAACAGCUUUUUGCUGUUUCUGGGUUGCGUGCCACAAAGAAAUUGUCCUGACUCGGCAGCAGGAAAAAACUGGCUGUUUUAAAAUGCCGGCUUUCUGGGCUGUGCCGCCAUUGUGAUCUCUGUCUGGCUCCGGCGGGAGACAGAGCUUAUGAAUGGAGCAUUUGGAUUAAAGUGCUACAAUUUGUUUGAUGGCAACUAGACUGCUGUGUGCCUAAAAGGGGGACAUUGUGUGCCGCAGCUCAGAGGCACAAGCAGCUCCGCCAUGCUAAUGGUGCAAUGUGCAAGGAUCAGAGGCACGAGCGGCUCCGCCAUGUUGGACUGGGCGGGGCCAGCAUACAGUACCUGUUUUUGACCUAGGAAUGUCACAGCUUAGAUUCUUAAGUGCUUAGUGAUUUAAAGGCGCAAAACAAAGUGCUCCUGGAUAGUAAAAAAGUUACAGAUUCACAAUAAAACAGAUUCAGACACUGUUGGAUAAAUGUACGUAGGCUUGGGAAAGAGAAGAAAAAGAAUAUAAAGAAUAAAGUUAAUGUCUUAAAAAGAAAAAGGGUAAAGUCUUUAAAGAGACAGAGUACAGAAGUACAGAUAGUUAUAGAUUAAGAGAAAUAAAAAAAAUAAGCCAUGUAAAAAUGGAAAAUUCACAGAGAGUCUGGAUUAUGUACAUUGUGUUUUCUUUAAAAUUUUUGACUGUGAAGGAGCUAAGUACAGAGAGACAUUUCAUUAUAUGGGCUGCUAGGCUGAACCUGCACAUAUGUUCUAAAGGUAUCUUGACUUCAGAAUUUGGGUCUAAGGAUAUGAUGCUUUGGAAAAGUCCUUCUUUUGUUUUCACAGAGGAUGUGACCCUGUGGAUUGCAUCUAUUCCAAUUUGGUAUGAUAGACCACGCCCUCCUGAAAGGUUGCUGUGAACACCCUCAAAAAAUUACUUCACUCAACUGCCAACCGAGAUGACCCUGGCACACAGGUUAUACCACAAAAGACCUAAUUAACGACGCCCCUAUUCAGCAGGAAGCAGUUUGGAAAGAAAAAACUACGCCCAUGUUCCCAAAUAUUGUUUACAAAUGUUCUUUUACAUUUAAAGGGGGAUAUGAUAUAGAUAUGAAUAAUUUGCAUUGGUAUGGAUUUUAAGGUCAAUUUUGUUAUAUGUAUAUGUAUUUUUGAUCUUGAUUAAGGUAUUGUGAUUGUGUAGUUCAUUUUAAAAAUGUAAUGUAUAAUUAGGAAAUAUAAGUUGUUAAUGGAUAAUCAUUGCUAAUAGUUAAGCUUGUAGUCAUGUUAAUUAGAUUUUCUAGAUAUAUAGAGAUAUCUUUCAGUUAGAUAGACAUUCUUCAUAUCUCUCAAAGACUGCAGAAUAUGGCAUUUAAAAUAUUUUAAUAACUUAGGACUUUUCAUGACAAGGAGACACGUCUGCUCCUGGCAGCACCAGCUACUUCAAGAGGAAGAUGGGCAUCGAAGAGGAUCCUUAUGGAGUUGGAUAGUCAUUUGGGCAAGAAACUGCUCUUGCCUGGACUGUUGCAUAAACUGGACACAGAACCCACAGAGAGAGGACUACUGGACUUGCCUAAAGGUGAGAUGGUCUUUCGGGGUUCCUGAUUCAUGAAAGAGUCUACGAGACAUUCUGCAGAACACAGCAGAAAAUGACUGAACUGUCUUUAAAAUUUCCUGCUUCAUGGAAAUGUCUCUGGAUACCAUGGGCCUGUAGGCUGAAGAUGGAUGCCCCAAAGGUACAGAGGAACUUUGGGUGACUGUCCAGGCAGCGAGAUGUCUCUGUCAUUUCUAGAGUUUUCUUAUUUCUUGUUUACUUAGAUAAUAUUAUAUCCUUCUGGAGUCUUUGAUGGAGUUGAAGAAUGAAUAGUUAUAGUUUUCCUUAGUUAUGAUAAGAGAUAAAAUAGAUAUAAAUAUUGUAACUGUAAUUCUUACUUGAUAACUGUUUUGUUAUAUGUAAUUUUACUAUGUUAAAGUUAAAGCCUUUCUUUUUUUGUUUAAAAGGAAAAAGGGGAACUGAUGUGGGAGUGAUUUCUUAUUAAUAAAGAAACUGCCUCGGCCCUCAUAGGACAGAAAAUUAGGUAGGCGGAGUAGACAGAGGAGAAUGCUGGGAAAAAGAAGCUGAGUGGGAGAGUCGCCAUGAUGCUCCCACUCCAGACAGACGCAGGUUAAGAUCCUCUCUGACAUCUGCUUGCCAUUUCCUCUAUAUUCUUGAGUAGGAUUUGGCAUACAAUUGCAGAGAAAACUGGUAUCUGAUUAUUUUGUUGGCUAGAAACUUGCAUAGCUCUGAAAUCUAGUCUUCAGGAUGAAGGCUUCCAAAUCAGUUACAGCUCAGUUUCUUCAAGUCCUGUGUCUGAAGUGCAUGUUUUCUUACCUUCAGCUUCUGGGAGACAACUGCAGGGAAUAGC